CAGGACUUCUGUGGUAUGAUCUCUGAAAAGUUAAAAAAAAAACCCUGCUAACACAGCAUUAUGUUACAUUAACAUACCUGUGUCAUUGCAAGCGAAUAAUAUAGACCUUGCUUUGCCAUUAGUUCAGCAUGUGUUCCUUUUUCCACCACCAUCCCAUCUUUUAUGGUCACAAUCAGAUCUGCACUUUGAAUAGUGGAAAGACGAUGUGCUAUGACAAUUGUAGUCCGACCUUUGCUUGCCUACAAAACAAUCUGUAAUUUAUCCAGAAUUGACUUUUGUAUGUGAUGUAAAGUAGGAGUCAAUGUACAUUUUCCCAUAUAGUUAUACAAUUGUUCCAGCAGCAUUUUUGAAAAGGCCAUCUUUACUUUAUGUACUGCAGAGUCGUCUUUGUCAUUAAAUCAGAAAAGGAAAUUGGAAUUCAGUCACUGGAAGGACUUGUACUAGAAUCUGGUAUGGCAUUCUCUAGGUUCUGAAAAGUGUUGCUCCAUGCAGAUGUACUUGAUAAAGCAGAUGAGUAUGUCAGAUUCAAUUCCAAGCUUAGAAGAAAACU